UGCAUGGCUGUCGUCAGCUCGUGUCGUGAGAUGUUGGGUUAAGUCCCGCAACGAGCGCAACCCUCACUUUUAGUUGCCAUCGUUUAGUUGGGCACUCUGAAAGAACUGCCAGUGAUAAGCUGGAGGAAGGUGGGGAUGACGUCAAGUCCUCAUGGCCCUUACGUGUUGGGCUACACACGUGCUACAAUGGCAUUUACAACAGGAAGCAAAACGGCGACGUUAAGCAAAUCCUAAAAAAAUGCCUCAGUUCGGAUUGUACUCUGCAACUCGAGUACAUGAAGCUGGAAUUACUAGUAAUCGCGGAUCAGCGCGCCGCGGGUGAAUACGUUCCCGGGUCUUGUACACACGCA
rnacentral:rRNA from 1 species